UUAAGCGACUAAGCGUACACGGUGGAUGCCCUGGCAGUCAGAGGCGAUGAAGGACGUGCUAAUCUGCGAUAAGCGUCGGUAAGGUGAUAUGAACCGUUAUAACCGGCGAUUUCCGAAUGGGGAAACCCAGUGUGUUUCGACACACUAUCAUUAACUGAAUCCAUAGGUUAAUGAGGCGAACCGGGGGAACUGAAACAUCUAAGUACCCCGAGGAAAAGAAAUCAACCGAGAUUCCCCCAGUAGCGGCGAGCGAACGGGGAGGAGCCCAGAGCCUGAAUCAGUGUGUGUGUUAGUGGAAGCGUCUGGAAAGGCGCGCGAUACAGGGUGACAGCCCCGUACACAAAAAUGCACAUGCUGUGAGCUCGAUGAGUAGGGCGGGACACGUGGUAUCCUGUCUGAAUAUGGGGGGACCAUCCUCCAAGGCUAAAUACUCCUGACUGACCGAUAGUGAACCAGUACCGUGAGGGAAAGGCGAAAAGAACCCCGGCGAGGGGAGUGAAAAAGAACCUGAAACCGUGUACGUACAAGCAGUGGGAGCACGCUUCGGCGUGUGACUGCGUACCUUUUGUAUAAUGGGUCAGCGACUUAUAUUCUGUAGCAAGGUUAACCGAAUAGGGGAGCCGAAGGGAAACCGAGUCUUAACUGGGCGUUAAGUUGCAGGGUAUAGACCCGAAACCCGGUGAUCUAGCCAUGGGCAGGUUGAAGGUUGGGUAACACUAACUGGAGGACCGAACCGACUAAUGUUGAAAAAUUAGCGGAUGACUUGUGGCUGGGGGUGAAAGGCCAAUCAAACCGGGAGAUAGCUGGUUCUCCCCGAAAGCUAUUUAGGUAGCGCCUCGUGAAUUCAUCUCCGGGGGUAGAGCACUGUUUCGGCAAGGGGGUCAUCCCGACUUACCAACCCGAUGCAAACUGCGAAUACCGGAGAAUGUUAUCACGGGAGACACACGGCGGGUGCUAACGUCCGUCGUGAAGAGGGAAACAACCCAGACCGCCAGCUAAGGUCCCAAAGUCAUGGUUAAGUGGGAAACGAUGUGGGAAGGCCCAGACAGCCAGGAUGUUGGCUUAGAAGCAGCCAUCAUUUAAAGAAAGCGUAAUAGCUCACUGGUCGAGUCGGCCUGCGCGGAAGAUGUAACGGGGCUAAACCAUGCACCGAAGCUGCGGCAGCGACACUGUGUGUUGUUGGGUAGGGGAGCGUUCUGUAAGCCUGUGAAGGUGUACUGUGAGGUAUGCUGGAGGUAUCAGAAGUGCGAAUGCUGACAUAAGUAACGAUAAAGCGGGUGAAAAGCCCGCUCGCCGGAAGACCAAGGGUUCCUGUCCAACGUUAAUCGGGGCAGGGUGAGUCGACCCCUAAGGCGAGGCCGAAAGGCGUAGUCGAUGGGAAACAGGUUAAUAUUCCUGUACUUGGUGUUACUGCGAAGGGGGGACGGAGAAGGCUAUGUUGGCCGGGCGACGGUUGUCCCGGUUUAAGCGUGUAGGCUGGUUUUCCAGGCAAAUCCGGAAAAUCAAGGCUGAGGCGUGAUGACGAGGCACUACGGUGCUGAAGCAACAAAUGCCCUGCUUCCAGGAAAAGCCUCUAAGCAUCAGGUAACAUCAAAUCGUACCCCAAACCGACACAGGUGGUCAGGUAGAGAAUACCAAGGCGCUUGAGAGAACUCGGGUGAAGGAACUAGGCAAAAUGGUGCCGUAACUUCGGGAGAAGGCACGCUGAUAUGUAGGUGAAGCGACUUGCUCGUGGAGCUGAAAUCAGUCGAAGAUACCAGCUGGCUGCAACUGUUUAUUAAAAACACAGCACUGUGCAAACACGAAAGUGGACGUAUACGGUGUGACGCCUGCCCGGUGCCGGAAGGUUAAUUGAUGGGGUUAGCGCAAGCGAAGCUCUUGAUCGAAGCCCCGGUAAACGGCGGCCGUAACUAUAACGGUCCUAAGGUAGCGAAAUUCCUUGUCGGGUAAGUUCCGACCUGCACGAAUGGCGUAAUGAUGGCCAGGCUGUCUCCACCCGAGACUCAGUGAAAUUGAACUCGCUGUGAAGAUGCAGUGUACCCGCGGCAAGACGGAAAGACCCCGUGAACCUUUACUAUAGCUUGACACUGAACAUUGAGCCUUGAUGUGUAGGAUAGGUGGGAGGCUUUGAAGUGUGGACGCCAGUCUGCAUGGAGCCGACCUUGAAAUACCACCCUUUAAUGUUUGAUGUUCUAACGUUGACCCGUAAUCCGGGUUGCGGACAGUGUCUGGUGGGUAGUUUGACUGGGGCGGUCUCCUCCUAAAGAGUAACGGAGGAGCACGAAGGUUGGCUAAUCCUGGUCGGACAUCAGGAGGUUAGUGCAAUGGCAUAAGCCAGCUUGACUGCGAGCGUGACGGCGCGAGCAGGUGCGAAAGCAGGUCAUAGUGAUCCGGUGGUUCUGAAUGGAAGGGCCAUCGCUCAACGGAUAAAAGGUACUCCGGGGAUAACAGGCUGAUACCGCCCAAGAGUUCAUAUCGACGGCGGUGUUUGGCACCUCGAUGUCGGCUCAUCACAUCCUGGGGCUGAAGUAGGUCCCAAGGGUAUGGCUGUUCGCCAUUUAAAGUGGUACGCGAGCUGGGUUUAGAACGUCGUGAGACAGUUCGGUCCCUAUCUGCCGUGGGCGCUGGAGAACUGAGGGGGGCUGCUCCUAGUACGAGAGGACCGGAGUGGACGCAUCACUGGUGUUCGGGUUGUCAUGCCAAUGGCACUGCCCGGUAGCUAAAUGCGGAAGAGAUAAGUGCUGAAAGCAUCUAAGCACGAAACUUGCCCCGAGAUGAGUUCUCCCUGACUCCUUGAGAGUCCUGAAGGAACGUUGAAGACGACGACGUUGAUAGGCCGGGUGUGUAAGCGCAGCGAUGCGUUGAGCUAACCGGUACUAAUGAACCGUGAGGCUUAACCU
rnacentral:rRNA from 1 species